CAUUUUUUCAUAUAUUUGUUGAUUGAUUGAAUAUCCUCUUCUGAGCAGUGCCUAUUCAUGUCCUUGGCCCAUUUAUUGACUGGGUUAUUUGGUUUUUUGGUGCUUAACUUUUUGAGUUCUUUAUAUACCCUAGAGAUUAGUGCUCUAUCUGAUGUAUGAGGGGUGAAAAUUUACUUCCAAGAUGUAGGCUCUCUUAUUCACCUCACAGAUUGUUUCUUUUGCUGAGAAGAAACUUUUUAAUUUGAGUCCAUCCAAAUGGGAGUCUUUCUUAGAAGUAAUGUACAACACUUGACAGAAAAUAAGCAUCAGUCAUUAUUUCUCAGAUCUAGAAAGCCAAGCUCAUUAGACACUUUAUAUAUCUGAUGCAAUACCUUAACAGGAUGUUCAUAGAUGUUAAAAAUAAGAUGGGGGCUGGAGCUUUGGAGAGAGAAAGUUUCCAGAGGUAAUAUGGUUGGAAAAGCUGAAUUAAAAUUAAGUGGGUCUCUCUCCUGUAAAACUUCUAAGAACCUACAAAUCUCCCAAAAGAACCUAUUUUUUUAUGGCAUCUUCCAGACUUAAAUGACCCAGUAACCCUUUUAUCAAGGAACAUCUUGUAAGACCUUGAACCUGUUUUGGGAAGUAUUAGCCUAGCACAAUGCUACGAAUUGUAGAGACUUAUUAAAUAGUUUGAAUAAUUCUGUAAAAACUUGACAUGACAGCUGCAAAAUUGUUCAUGAACUUUCUCAAGGCAGUCAACACAGUAUUUAAAUCUUGGCCAUGGGCCUUGGACAAGUUAUUUGACCCUAGUUUCAUCUUCUGUAGGAGAGGUGAUGGUACAAAUAUUCUCCCAGAAAGGUAGUUGUAAAGAUCAAAUGAGUUAAUAAUGUUACUUGGUUAGAACAGUACCUGGCACAUAAUAAGCAUGAUAAUGUUGGCUAUUACUUUAAAUAGAAUGAAUUUUAGAGUAGCUUUCAAGAAUAAAUUAUUGACUGCUGUUAUGCUAGCUUACCAUUUGUCCUUACCUUUUGCUCACACUGGAU
rnacentral:lncRNA from 1 species